rnacentral:lncRNA from 12 species
AUGCAACAUCUUCGCAAGAUGCCCAACCACCUGGGGGUUGAAAUGGAAGGAGUCCGGAGCACCCUGUCUGGGUCAGGGAGGACCCCAGAGUUGUGUGGGGCACCGCCUGGCCCCUCUCCCACAGCCCUGUGGCUGCUUCUGCAGCAGAGCUCCUCUUUGCUAGGCACCCGCCGGCCUGGGGUGGCCUGCUGGGCCCGGACAGCUGACAGGUUGUCCCCAGGGCUCCUACGCGUUUCGGCUAAAGCACCAGCUCCUGCUUGGCAGCCCCUCCGUGGCACCUGCCAAACCAGACCCUCUGCAGGCCAGGCACAUGGUGGAGGGCUCCUAGGCCCCUGCUGUGGGCCGCCAGGAGACCCCACCCAGGCCACGCGAUGGCCCCGACCUGGGCAGCUUCCCAACCACCUGCCCUGCAGGAGAGCCUGCCCCAGACCGCUAGCCGCCCCACCGCUAUACCCACACCAGGACCCCUCCUCGGGGAGAAGCGCCUGGGCUGUUGGGGAGCGGUCGUCAAAUGACGCCAGGGGCCUACCCCCUGACCUGCAGAGCGUCUGCCGGUACCAGGCCUGUGCCACACGGAUGGCAGAGGCAGGGAGGCCCCACUGGAGCAGCAUGCGGUGUGUGUGUGUGUGUGUGUGUGUGUGUGUGUGUGUGUGUGUGUGUGUCCAGCUCCAGCCUCAGGGGCAUCCCUUCCUCUGUGGCCCUCAAACCGUGUUUGCAUCAAAACGUCCCCGAGUGCAUCCGGCUCUGGCUAAACAGCGUGGGAAGCAGCAUGAUGGAGAAGGCGGGAGGCCCGGCCUGGUUUCGUCCUCCAUGCUAGCCAGACGGGAGACCACCCAGCCGGGACAGCCCCGCCAGGCCUGGCAGGGUGAAACUCACCACGUGCCUCCCAGCGUGGGCUCCAGUGUCCGUGGGCCUGGUCCCCUCAGGGCAAGGGGAACACACAAGGCGGUACCCAGGUCCGGGCUCAGCGGCAGAGGGCAGGCCAGGGCAAGCUGUCAGGCUGCACGCAAGCUGACCUCUGGAGGCCAGCCAGCCCUCAAGAACCCCAUCUAG